GGAAGAGCGAGCCGCUGGCCAGCGGGGCCCUGCCCAGGCAGGGCGCUUGGAGGUGAAGGACGAGGAGCCAGAAGGAGACCGGUGCCGCCCGGCUCCGCGGGACACAUGACAUGCUAAUGGAAGGACACAGAUCCUGUAAAAGAGGAUGAUUUUGUGUAAUAUUUGAUAUCCAACAACACUUGCCAAGAGAAGAUUUGUUCAUUGCAAGGUGUAGCAAGUUCCCUUACCUGCCUCUAAAACUUCUUCUCUGAGAUGGAGCGUGACGAAAGAAAAAGACAGACCACCCAAGACUGAGAAGGAAUUUGUCUGGUGGUCAGAAUACGAACAAAAAACCUGGACAAGCAUUUCACUUGCAGCCCUGUGUUCAAAAUCCACUAGCAGUAUUCCUGUUGAGGUACCUCAGUUCACACUCUGUUGCUUUCUCUAGGUGGCUAACAAAGAAAGCAAUGUAUCUUCAGAUAUGAUUUCCCUCCCUUUUCUGAAUCUUUAUUACUGUUCAGCCUCUGCAGUAUAUCAAGAAGAUAUAGUGCCGAGCAGGGAAAUAUUCAAAUGGUAGAAGAAAUUAUUUCGUGCAAGACAUGGUUUCUGCAAUUUUUCCAGUGAAAUGCUUAGAAUUGGGUGUGGAGGUAGCAAUGUGAUCAGAAUGGGGCAGAAAUCAAUCUGGAGAAAAUCCACUUCCUGCACUGUCCAUCCCGCUAAUGAUUUACCAAGUGAACGUGUCAUAGUCUCUGCAUGGCUCGAUUACAGAUGACUUUUUCCUCAUGAGCUAAUAGUGGAAGGACUAAAUAGGGGGGGAAAAUUGAGCAAGAACUUGCUUAUUUCAAAUAUUUUACUAAUUUUCAUUGUGGAUAAGUGCUGACACUCGUGCUAAGGCAGCCAGCACCACUGAGGGCUGGGGGGCCCUUCACCUCCUGUACCGUUUGCAGAACCUCUGCAGUGGUGCAACUCUGGUUAAGACUUGGUGUUUUCACUUUGCUUUUUAUAUGGUUGUUGCACUACUGGUGUUGAAGGAUCCUUGGCUUUCUCUCCUGUCUGUAGUAUUUUACAGUUGGCUGUGCAACACAUGAUGGGGCUGAUGGGGUUGUUAGGUUUCACUGCAGUGAUGGCUUACUUUGGGUGUUGCCAUUCAGGAGGCUAAGGGAUGCAACUUAAUGCCCUACUAUUGAAAGUGCCACCUGAAUCCAACCCUAGUCAGUCAUUAAGAGGUAUGGAAGUCUAGAAAAAAUCCAUGAUUUGGAGAAAGUGGGGAAGAAAUGUCAGGAGUCCAUUUUUCAGGGCCUGCUUGCAGUCAGCCUUUUGAAGGCCCAUUAUUUCAAUUUUUUUGUUUCAUUCUAGUACCAAUGUAUUUAGUGUAGCAAGUAAUCUGAAG